rnacentral:lncRNA from 1 species
CUGAAGCCCCCACUGUCUUCUUUAUAAACUGCUUUAAUAUUCUAACUCUGCACAUUCUUGGGGAAUACAUUCUAGAAAAUCAUAUUAAACAGAGAAUCUGCUUGUUCCCUUAAUUUUUUCCACAGCCUUUUCUUUCUUUCUUUCCUUUUUUUUUUAGUUCACUUUGGGGAAUAGUUGCAAUAAAAUGGUAGGGAUAUUAACUUCUCUCAAGGUAGAAAAGAAUGGUUUCAAGGUGAAAGGUCAGGGAGUGUUGGGAGCCUAGGAUUCUAAAUCUGUGAGUAAGAAAGAUGACCAAAGAGGUCAGACUAUUUGUUUAAGAACUACCCACAGUAAGUGAAUUCUGAAUGGUACAAUGAGGCUUGUUGCUAUGACACCAAAUAAUUCCAUAUUCCGUGCAAUGGAAUCCCCAUUUAUGUUCUUAAAAAAUUAAAGCAGUUUUAUGGAUAUUAAAUGUUUAAGUGGCUCCAGCAGCUAGAAAGAAAAAUCAUCUUAUGAAUAAAACAGGCCAGUGCCUGAUUGCUUGCAUGAAAAGUAUUUGAAAAAUGUGUUUGUGGAGUUUGGGGCUUGACAGCUUUUGUUUUAUGGUGUGCAGUGAUAGGAGGCAGUGGAUGAGUGAAUAUAUAAAUGAUGAUGUUCAGCAUCUAGCACAGUGAAGAGCACCUUCAGUACUUCUGUCAGGAUGAUUGAUGGAGGUAAUGCAUGUCUAAAUGUUCUGUUUCUACCCAGUUCUGAGCCUACACUCACUGUG